GCCCGGAUAGCUCAGUCGGUAGAGCAGAGGACUGAAAAUCCUCGUGUCGCUGGUUCGAUUCCGGCUCCGGGCACCA
rnacentral:tRNA from 3 species